rnacentral:rRNA from 1 species
GACGAACGUUGGCGGCGUGCUUAAUACAUGCAAGUCAACUGAAGCACCGGUAGUAAUACUGGUGUGGAGGUGGCGCACGGGUGAGUAACACGUAGGUAAUCUGCCUUCAGGUCUGACAUAACCCCGAGAAAUCGGGCUAAUAGCAGAUGAUGCAGCGGCUUGACAUCAAGACAGUUGUUAAAGCUUCGGCGCCUGAAGAUGAGCCUGCGUCUGAUUAGCUAGUUGGCGGAGUAAUAGCCCACCAAGGCGACGAUCAGUAGCUGGUCUGAGAGGAUGAUCAGCCACACUGGAACUGAGACACGGUCCAGACUCCUACGGGAGGCAGCAGUAAGGAAUAUUGCUCAAUGGGAGAAAUCCUGAAGCAGCAACGCCGCGUGAGGGAUGAAGGGCUUUUGCUCGUAAACCUCUGUAGUGAGGGAAAAAAUUUCCAUUCUAUGGAAUAUGAUGGUACCUCAAAAGUAAGCCCCGGCUAACUACGUG